UCAAGCUGUAAAGGGCGCAAGGGGAAUGCCUUGGCACUGAGAGCCGACGAAGGACGCGACAAGCUGCGAUAAGCUACGGGGAGCCGCAAAUGGGCUUUGAUCCGUAGAUUUCCGAAUGGGGAAACCCGGCAGAGCAAUACUCUGUCAACGUGCACUGAAUACAUAGGUGUACGUGGGGAACCGCCUGAACUGAAACAUCUAAGUAGGGCGAGGAAGAGAAAUCAACCGAGAUUCCGCUAGUAGUGGCGAGCGAACGCGGAAGAGGCCAAACCGAAGGUAGCAAUAUUUUCGGGGUUAGGACUGCAAUAUGCAGCUUUCAUUUUUAACCGAAUGCUUUGGGAAGAGCAGCGAUACAGGGUGAUAGCCCCGUAGGUGAAAAGAAUGGAGCGCUAGCAGUAUCCAGAGUACCAGCGGACACGUGAAACCCGCUGGGAAGAUGGGGGGACCAUCCUCCAAGCCUAAAUACUACUCAGUGACCGAUAGUGGAGCAGUACCGUGAGGGAAAGGUGAAAAGUACCCCGGGAGGGGAGUGAAAGAGAACCUGAAACCUUGUGCCUACAAGCACCGAGAGCACGUUAAAGUGUGAUCGGGUACUUUUUGUAGAACGGUCCGGCGAGUUAAUAUUUGCAGCGAGGUUAAGUAACUGGAGUUACGGAGCCGCAGCGAGAGCGAGUCUGAAUAGGGCGUAUGAAGUUGCAGGUAUUAGACCCGAAACCGGGUGACCUAUCCAUGAGCAGGCUGAAGCGGUGGUAAGACACCGUGGAGGGCCGCACCCACGUCUGUUGAAAAAGCCGGGGAUGACUUGUGGAUAGCGGAGAAAUUCCAAUCGAACUCGGAGAUAGCUGGUUCUCCCCGAAAUAGCUUUAGGGCUAGCGUUAUUUUAGAUUACCGGAGGUAAAGCACUGAAUGGUCUAGGGGCCGCGAGGUUACCAAAGCCUAUCAAACUCUGAAUGCCGGAUAAUUGAUGAAUAGCAGUCAGACUGUGUGAGAUAAGUCUCAUAGUCAAAAGGGAAACAGCCCAGAUCUACAGCUAAGGUCCCAAAUGAACACUAAGUGGAAAAUGAUGUGAAACUGCGAAGACAACCAGGAUGUUGGCUUAGAAGCAGCCACUCAUUCAAAGAGUGCGUAAUAGCUCACUGGUCGAGUGGUUUUGCGCAGAAAAUGUAACGGGGCUAAGUGUUCAACCGAAGCUUAGGCAUUGUACUUUGUACAUUGGGUAGGGGAGCGUCGUAUGCGGGGCGAAGUCAGAGCGGAAGCACUGGUGGACUGCAUACGAGUGAGAAUGCCGGAAUAAGUAGCGAGAAUUAUGUGAGAAUCAUAAUGGCCGAAAAUCUAAGGUUUCCUGGGGAAGGUUCGUCCGCCCAGGGUUAGUCGGGAGCUAAGCUCAGGCCGAGAGGCGUAGGCGAUGCACAUACGGUAGAAAUUCCGUAACCACCGAACUUUAAGCUAGAGGGACGCUUUCUUUAAGGUUAUCCCGGGCGAUGGUUGCCCCGGGCGUAAGGGACCGAAAUUUAGUAGGGAAGUAACUGGCGAGAGAGACGAGAAAAGCUCUAGUGUAUACUAAGGUGCCCGUACCGCAAACCGACACAGGUAGAAGGGAUGAGUAUUCUAAGGCCAACGGGAGAAGGGUUGUUAAGGAACUCGGCAAAUUGGCCCCGUAACUUCGGGAUAAGGGGCGCCUGCGAGAGCAGGCCGCAGUGAAAAGGCCCAAGCGACUGUUUAGCAAAAACACAGCUCUCUGCUAAAUCGAAAGAUGACGUAUAGGGGGUGACGCCUGCCCGGUGCUGGAAGGUUAAGGGGAGUGCUUAGCGCAAGCGAAGGUGCGAACUUAAGCCCCAGUAAACGGCGGCCGUAACUAUAACGGUCCUAAGGUAGCGAAAUUCCUUGUCAGGUAAGUUCUGACCCGC
rnacentral:rRNA from 1 species